CAGUCGCCGCGGUAAUACGGAGGGUGCAAGCGUUAAUCGGAAUUACUGGGCGUAAAGCGUGCGUAGGCGGUUCGUUAAGUCUGUUGUGAAAGCCUCGGGCUCAACCUGGGAAUGGCAAUGGAUACUGGCGUGCUAGAGUGUGUCAGAGGAUGGUGGAAUUCCCGGUGUAGCGGUGAAAUGCGUAGAGAUCGGGAGGAACAUCAGUGGCGAAGGCGGCCAUCUGGGACAACACUGACGCUGAGGCACGAAAGCGUGGGGAGCAAACAGGAUUAGAUACCCCUGUAGUCCCUGUCUCUUAUAA
rnacentral:rRNA from 1 species